UUAGUACUCUCUCCGUCUCAAAAUACUUGUCAUCAAAAUGGAUGAAAAGGAAUGUAUCUAAAACUAAAAUACAUCUAGAUACAUCACUUUUUAUUCUUUUUGAUGACAAGUAUUUUCGGACGGAGGGAGUAAUUA
rfam:Triticum aestivum genome assembly, contig: Triticum_aestivum_CS42_TGACv1_scaffold_289512_4AL